ensembl:rRNA 5S_rRNA 5S ribosomal RNA
GCCUACGGCCAUACCACCCUGAAAGCGCCUGAUCUCGGAAGCUAAGCAGGGACGGGCCUGGUUAGUACCUGGAUGGGAGACCGCCUGGGAAUACCAGGUGUUGUAGGCU